AGCUCCUCGGCUCGCGCUCUCCUCGCCUCCUGUGCUUUCCCCGCCGCGGCGAUGCCAGGGCCUUCGCCAGGGCUGCGCCGGGCGCUACUCGGCCUCUGGGCUGCUCUGGGCCUGGGGCUCUUCGGCCUCUCAGGUAAGAGCCCCGCUCUGGUUCGGGGUGGACAGGGCGGGGGCGGAGUCCCUGGACCUGAGAAACGGCCUCCUGUCCCUCCCAGCUCCGCCCUCGCCUCGCUCCCACGCCUCUGCCCCCACCUCGAGCCUGAGUCUUCUCCCCUUCCCCCUCCUCCCCAACACACACCCGAGCCCCAGCUUCCUGACUCCUCGAUAGCCCCUACCCGCUUCGAGAUCCUAGGUGUUCUUCCGCACCCAACCCUUCGCCCUGGAGACCCAGUGUCUCUCCUGUCCGCUCCCCGGGUACCUCCUUACGCUCUGCUGUGCACCAUGGUCCACGGACUGGCAUCUUCCCCACUCGCGGUCCGCGAAGACUCCAUCUCUCCAACUACCCUGACUCAGAGGCGCUGUUCCCGCUCCACCCAGAGCCCUGGCAACCGGGUCCCUCAGCUGUUCCCGCGGUUCCUUCCAUGAGCCCAGCCUUGCGUCCCGGCUCCGUGUUCUUCACCGGGUGUAGGGUCCUUCCUGAUCCUUGACCCAGCCUCGUCUCUCCUUUGCCCUUGCCGCAAACGCACUCUCCUCGUAUCCCGGCAUUCUGCCAGGACCCUGAGAACUGGUUCAUCCCCCAUCCCCCAUCCCGGGUCCCCUUCUCUCAGCCUUGCUGUGUUCAUCCAAGAACCCACCUUUCCUCUCCUCUACGCCCUCCCCCCAUGCUUUCCCGCCGCUCCAUCGGCGCUUUGGAGACCAUGGCUCUCUGCUACCACGUCCCAGAGACACCCUCGAGGUUUAGACUCUGGGAGCGCGCCUUUAAACCGGA
rnacentral:sRNA from 1 species